AUUGAACGCUGGCGGCAUGCCUUACACAUGCAAGUCGAACGGCAGCACGGGAGCAAUCCUGGUGGCGAGUGGCGAACGGGUGAGUAAAGUAUCGGAACGUACCUUUCAGUGGGGGAUAACGUAGCGAAAGUUACGCUAAUACCGCAUAUUCUGUGAGCAGGAAAGCAGGGGAGUCGCAAGACCUUGCGCUGAUGGAGCGGCCGAUAUCAGAUUAGCUAGUUGGUGAGGUAAAGGCUCACCAAGGCGACGAUCUGUAGCGGGUCUGAGAGGAUGAUCCGCCACACUGGGACUGAGACACGGCCCAGACUCCUACGGGAGGCAGCAGUGGGGAAUAUUGGACAAUGGGCGAAAGCCUGAUCCAGCCAUGCCGCGUGAGUGAUGAAGGCCUUAGGGUUGUAAAGCUCUUUCAGUAGGGAAGAUAAUGACGGUACCUACAGAAGAAGCCCCGGCCAACUUCGUGCCAGCAGCCGCGGUAA
rnacentral:rRNA from 1 species